rnacentral:rRNA from 1 species
UACGUAGGGUGCAAGCGUUAAUCGGAAUUACUGGGCGUAAAGCGUGCGCAGGCGGUUAUGCAAGACAGAGGUGAAAUCCCCGGGCUCAACCUGGGAACUGCCUUUGUGACUGCAUAGCUAGAGUGCGGCAGAGGGGGAUGGAAUUCCGCGUGUAGCAGUGAAAUGCGUAGAUAUGCGGAGGAACACCGAUGGCGAAGGCAAUCCCCUGGACCUGUACUGACGCUCAUGCACGAAAGCGUGGGGAGCAAACAGG